rnacentral:rRNA from 1 species
ACUCGAGUGGCGAACGGGUGAGUAACACGUGGGUGAUCUGCCCUGCACUUCGGGAUAAGCUUGGGAAACUGGGUCUAAUACCGGAUAGGAGCCAUCUUUAGUGUGGUGGUUGGAAAGUUUUUUCGGUGUAGGAUGAGCUCGCGGCCUAUCGGCUUGUUGGUGGGGUAAUGGCCUACCAAGGCGGCGACGGGUAGCCGGCCUGAGAGGGUGUACGGCCACAUUGGGACUGAGAUACGGCCCAG